rnacentral:lncRNA from 1 species
GACUUUGUGAAAACUCAGCCUCCAACUACCUACACAGGCUUUCUGGAAUCCAAUAGGUUUCCAAAGGUCUUGCAAGGUCAAGAAAUUUGCUCGUUAAGAUCGCUUACUGGAAAAAGUGAUGUUAAUUUUGGUGCUUGGGAAAAACCUGAAUUUGGUUGCAAUGUUUUUAGCACAUAUCAGAGGCCGAAGGCCAAUUUCUAUCCUCUUGCUUCUGGCUUACUGGAAAAGGUGAUGUUAAUUUUGGUGCUUGGGAAAAACCUGAAUUUGGUUGCAAUGUUUUUAGCACAUAUCAGAGGCCGAAGACCAAUUUCUAUCCUCUUGCUUCUGAAGGGGCGAGGAAUGUGUUUCUACCUUAUAAUGCGAUGUAUAGAGCUGGACAAGAUCCAGUAGUGCAUUCCUACAUUAAUA